CACCCCGCGGCCAAGUGGAUAGCGCUCUCGUUUUGAAAAUUUGGGUCGCGGGUUCAAACCCCACCGGGGUCA